rnacentral:lncRNA from 1 species
UUGGCAACACUGAAAUGUCCAGCAAAGGACGGCACUGUUGCCAGAUUUACCUUUUUCCUUUUAGCGGGAAUUUUAAAAUUAGUCAAAUGCUUUGGUUUUAAAAGAGAGUUCUGUGGUGGGAUCACGAUCAGUAGAAUGGUAGAAUGCUGAUGUCACAAAAAUAAUUCUACAAUCGACAAUUUUGGUAUCACGUUAACACGCUUGGGAAAGUAGAAUCGGUGCUCGGCAAUGUUCGGAUAUUCUACUAGCCAUGUUAAAAAUAUCGCUUCUUCUUCUUAAAAAUAUUGCUGUUUGACGUGUGGUUGUCUUUAUUUUGUGGUGGUUGUAUUCAAAAAGUUAACCUAAAGAAAGAUUAUAAUUUGUGAUUAUUUUCAAUUUGUAUAUUUUUGUCUUGGGUUGUUUGGAACUAUUUUAUUAGAAAUCACUAAAUUUUUAAAUUUUACCUGUGACUAGAGAACAUUGUUAUAUUAAGGUAUUUUUAUUCUUGGUAUGAAACAAUGUUAAGACAAUACUGUGUGCUUUUUCAGUCCUAUGAAAGAAAAUGUUUUGGAUGUAAUAGAGAAGUACUACAACUUUGUUAUGAAGAUUUGUCUUUAUGUUAUUUUUAUAAUGUUCAUGGAUUAUAUUUGUUUUUAUGUUUUCUUCAGUUUAAAUAAAGUUUAUGUUUUACCCA